rnacentral:lncRNA from 1 species
CAGAGACCCAAGCAGCUGCAGUGACAACGCCGGAUCCUUAGCCUGCUGUGCCACAAGAGAACUCCAUAGAAGUCUUAUUUUAGAUAGAACAUAUUGGUCAGCUAAGGGAGAACAAGUUCUAUUUUAGUCUAGGUUGCUAGGCAUGUUGAGAUUUUAGACUCAAUUUUUUUUUUUUUUUCUGAAAAGCCAGUCUUCCCUCAGUUGCUUGAAGAGAACUCAGUUUUUUAUCCAUAGCUAUUUGGAUUGCCUGUGUACAAAGCACACUCUAAUGUGAAUAAGAUUUUGAGGUUGCUUCUACAAAUCAAAGUACACUUGAAUGUACACUUUUUUUUUUCCCUUAUAAGACUUCAUAGAAAUCGUGUUACUCUAUUUUGUGAAAACAACUCCUAAUACUCUUUAGGUGGAUGGGAAAACGUCCUUAGGUUCAUCUGCUUAAAAAAAAAGUCAUGAAUUGAAAGACUGCUUAUUGAAACUGAAGAUCACUUUCUACUGAAUCAUCAGGAACAGUAUAUUGAGCAAUGUGAUUUUUAUCAAUAUGCCUUUAGGAGUUGUAUGUUUUGUUUUAUUAUUAUUUUUCAAUUUUUAAUUUUUUUUUGUCUUUUGUUUUUUUUGGGCUGUACCCGCAGCAUAUGAAUGUUCCCAGGUCCGGAGUCCAAUCGGAGCUGAAGCCGCUGGCCUACGCCAGCACCACACCAACUCGGGACCCGAGCCAAGGCUGCGACCUACACCACAGCUCACGGCAACACUGGAUCCUUAACCCACUGAGCAAGGCCAGGGAUCGAACCUGUAUCCUCAUGGAUACCAGUUGGAUUCAUUAACUGCUGAGCCACGAUGGGAACUCCGGGUGUUGUAUAUUUUAGAUAAAAAAUUUAUGUCUCCAAUGACUGUCAGGUAUCUUGAAGAUGUUCUGAAGAUAUUCAUAGAAUCCAUUGAAUUUCUCAGUAAAAUGCAAACAACUUCUUAAUGAGCGUUAAGAGUUCCUGAUGGAGUAAUUCCUUUAUUAAUAUUUAAAGAGAAUACGUAAGUGGCAUUCAUUUCCGUGUGACUUAUGCAUUUAAAAAAAUAAAGUAACCAAAAUUACUAGAUUCAGAUUAAACACAGAGCAUCUUCUUAGUGCCUCCUAUGUGAUGGCCACUGCUUAGCUACUGUGCAUUAAUGGCCGUGUGUUUGCAUUCUAUAAGUUUUAUAUAUUUACUCUGAAUUUUGUAAUCUAUUGCAUAUAAAGCAUUGCAUUUACUUAGGGUUUUGCCAAAAGUUAUACUAUGCUUGUUAAAGGGAAAAAAAAACCCUAAGAUUAUGAAUGAUAAUCCCCAAGAAUGUGGAAAAAAUAUGUAUAUAAAUGUAUAACUGGGUCACUUUGCUGUACAGCAGAAAUUGGCAGAACACUGUAGAUUAGCUACAAUAAAAAUCU